AUCCAGCUGACGAAUCCCAAAUAGAACGAAACGCUCGUUUCGGAU
rnacentral:hammerhead_ribozyme from 1 species